CAGGCCAGCAAAAACAAAACUAUGUUCAGCAAAGUGUCCAUGCAGAAGGGAAGAAGAGAAGGAAUCAUUGAUUGUGGGCAGCUUGUGAGCCAAUUCCCAAACAGAGCCCAUGGAGCAAAAGAUUAGGCAUGGCUUGGAGUCAGCUUCUUUAUCAAAUGAGCCCAUAGAGUGUGAGCAAAGGCAAGCCUCAAAAAGAGAUCUGCUUUGGCAGCUGGUUCACCAGUGAAGAUGCCUGUAGCAAAAACUAAAAACGGCAGAUUUUUCUGGCUGCCUUGGAAUACAACAGCUUAAUGUCGACUCCUCUUGCUUGGGAAAUUAAUUGGGACUGAUUGCUGGUGGGCUUUGAAGAUCACACUACUGACCUGCUAUGGAGUUUUCUGGAAGUGGAAUAGAUAAUGAGAAUGUCUGAUAUCAAAAACUUGGUUUAGAAGGCACACUCACUUCUAUCAACUCCUUUGAAGAUAAAAAGGCAAAAAUAUGGGCUUUCAGUCAAAUACCUCAAUUCAAACCCCAGCUCUAAUUUUACCAGUUGUGUUACCCAGAAAAAAUUACCAACAGUCUUUAAACUCAAGUUUCUUUAUCUAUAACUGGGGAGAUAACCAUGCCUACCUUCCUAAGUCAUUGUUUAGAUUACAAUCUAUGUAUAAGUUAAAUGUUAGAUAUAAUUUACUCAUUCCAUAGAAUAUUAGAAUAUAUAGCAUCGCUCAUUAAGUGGUGGCUAUUACUGCUUAUCACAAUAGUCAUAUAAAUUAAGAUAAUUGUCAUCAUUUUAGCAAUAAGAAAACUCAGGCUCAAAUUGCAUAGAUUUGCCCAAUCUCACAGAGCUUUAAGAAGUAGAGCUGAGACCCAAACAUAUCACUCAAACACAUAAACAAUUAAUUCUGUCAUUCCAGAAACAUAGAAACUGGACAAAUAACCAAAUAUUGAAAGAAGUUUCCAGUGCCUCACCUUGACUUUUUUCUCUAAAUUGCAUUGGUUUUUCUCCUGGAUUGAAUGUUCUUGCUAUUCAAGAGGUACAUUAGAGAAUAAGAACGUAAUUUAUCUUGAGUAAUAGCAAGAGAAGGAAAAUCUGGAGUUGGGGGGAUGGUACAGGAAUCAAAUACAUGCUGCAUUCCCAUAAAUUAUUUUAUAGAGCAAGGUUAAGAUAAAGGAAUAGAGGCAUAUCUGUUAGUAUAAGGAAAAAAGUAUAAGGAAGAAUGGAACACAUCUGCCAAUGGAGGUGGAUAUAGGUAUGAUAUGAAAUUAAUCGAUCUCAAUCAGCGGGAGGAAGAAGGCACGUUAGACAGAAAAGGGUUAGAAAUAUGUAAAUAGCUAUUUGUAUCUGUGCCUUAGGCCUAGUUAGCUUGUAAACAGUCUCUUGGCAUUCAUUGUCAUGCUAUAAAACAUGCUAUAAUAAAAUUACAAAACUUUUAUGCUUUCUGAAGGGUUAGAUUCUUUCAGCAUAUCAAAAUGGUUAUUUCUGGAGAGGAUUGCUGCAGGAUCCAGUGGGCCACUGGAACCUGUUUCUUAGAUUCUAACCCCCUACAUUGUCACCACAGCUGUGCUGCCAUACUGCUGCCUUACCCCUUCUAUCUAAAGAUACAAAGAGCCCUUGUGCCAGGCACUGUUCUAAGUGCUUCACAUUCUCACAAUAGUCCAAGAAGGUAAUGCAAAUGUUACCCCACACUAAAAUGAUGAAAGUGAAGCACAGAGAAGUUAAGCAAUUUGCCUAGCAUCAUGCAGUUAAAGUUGGCAUUUCAACACAUGCAGUCUAGCGCUGGUGCAUGUAUCCAAGACAUGCAUCCAAGACAAUAUAUUCCAUACCAAUUCUUUUCAAAUUAUUUGUGGCAAAAGAUUUAUUUUGAUUUUGUUUUUAUUUAUAAUAUAUUGUGAGCCAAUACUUUUGUAAAAUACACUAAAAGUCAUUUAACAGAAAAAUGAAAUUAAAAGAUAUCCAAAAUAUCGACUCUAAUUUUAAAAUUAUUAUUAAGUUCAGCAUGCAUAAAAUGAGUCUAUAAAUUGUUAUGAAAGUUUCUAAAUGCUUUCUCAUUGCUUACUCUCACUGUCUUUGUGUCCCACAGUCCAGCAGGGGUCUCUAAACCACACUUUGAUUAGCACUGUUCUAGUAUUACUAGGCUGGGCACAUUUUGUGUCAAUGAAACCAGUGGAACUGGCUGCUCUACAACAAGGUCAAUCUUGGUGCCACCAACCCCAGGCCUGUGUUUUCUAAUUACCCGAGUUAACCACUCAUCUAGCCUGACUGAGAAUUCUAACAGAUAGAGGAACCCUUAAGAACUGAAAUCAGGAUUUAGUCUGUGCCAUUCUGAAAGGAGCUGAAUGUUCCAGUGCGUUAAUGUAUAAAACCAAUUUUGCAAAAUGUCUUUUAAGAAAUCACAAUCUUCUUUCCUCCAGUUGUUCUUUUAUCUUUUUAAAAAUAAAUUAAUUUUCAAAUUGAAACAUAACUACAUUUUUAUGGGAUACUUAAUGAUGGUUUUUGAUUUUGUUUAUGUUUUUUGAGACAGGGUCUCACUCUGUCACCCAGGCUGGAGUGCAGCGGUGCCAUCUUGGCUCACUGCAACCUCUGCCUCCUGGGUUCGAGAGAUUCUCGUGCCUCAGCCUCCUGAGUAUUUGGGAUUACAGGUGUGUGCUGCUGCAGCUGGCUAAUUUUUUUUGUAUUUUUAGUAGAGAUGGGUUUUUGCCAUGUUAGCCAGGCUGGUCUUGCAAUCCUGACCUCAAGUGAUCCACCCAUUUCGGCCUCCCAAAGUGCUGGAAUUACAGGCGCGAGCAACCGCGCCCAGCUGAUGUUUCCAUAUAUACAAUAUACAGUGAACAAAUCGGGGUAAUUCAUUGCUUUUUUAUCUUAGUAUGACUUUCCUUUUCCUCUUGUUUUUCUCAUGACCUAAAGUGCUUGGCACACUGCCUGAAAAAUAGUAGGUAUCCAAUAGAUGUUUAUGAUUAAAAAUUCCCAUUUAUUUCAACAAAUACUACUGGUAUUAAAUUUCCAGGUAUAAAUGACACCAUGUAGGUACUAUACAAGCCUGAAAUGACAAUAUGCUCCCUAUCAAGAGGUCAGUCCUAAGGAAAAAAAUGUUAUAGAUGAAGGAGUUGGAAAUACACCACUCUGGCAUAUUGACUAUUUAAGUUAAAGGCACUUAAAUAAAACAGCAGUUGCAAAAAGAUCACCGUGACCUUUGGGCUAUUUCUUAAAAACAGAAGAUAAAACGACCAUGUGAGGAUGCAACGUUCUUAUCCUCAAGGAUGAGAAAGUUGAGGCCAAAGUAAUUCUGUACAAAGAAACCUUGUUAAAUGAAUCUUUACCUUCCUAAUCGUUGAUCUACCAAUUAAGUACUUGAGUGCAGUAUAUAAGUAACUCAUUCUAACUACCUCUCAAGGUAGUCAUUUCCUCAUAAGGGCUCCCAUGCCAUGUAAAACUCAUAUUGAAUUUGUGGGCAUUUCGUAUGUUAAUCUGUGUUAUGUCGAUUUAUUUAUCAGACCCGAUGGAUAGAGGAUUGAGUUAAAGUUUUGCUGCUCCUAUACGGACAACAUCCAAAGUAAUGGCUUAUUCAAGUGAAGUAGGGGAAAUUAAGAAGGAAAGAGUUAAACUCAAAAGUGUUUACAAUUUUGCUUUAUUAAAAUAUUCAAAUAUUUUAAUAUCUAUGCUGUAAACUUAAUGUUAUUAUUAUAACUUGGAGGCUUUAAGUAGUGCAUGAUUGCUCACACAAUAAAGACUGUCUUCAUAAUAAAGUUUUGUAUAAAUGUCUUUAAAUCAAGAGUGCUAAGCUUCAUGUCAUUCC
rnacentral:lncRNA from 1 species